rnacentral:rRNA from 1 species
CAGAACACCAAUUGCGAAGGCAGCUGUCCAUGACGAUAUUGACGCUGAAGCACGAAAGCGUGGGGAUCGAACAGGAUUAGAUACCCUGGUAGUCCACGCCGUAAACGAUGAAUGCUAGUUGUUCGGGUCAAUUGAGACCUGAGUAACCAAGGGAAACCGAUAAGCAUUCCACCUGGGGAGUACGGUCGCAAGACUGAAACUCAAAGGAAUUGACGGGGGCCCGCACAAGCGGAGGAACAUGUGGUUUAAUUCGAUGAUACGCGAGGAACCUUACCCGGGCUUGAAAGUUAGUGACCGUUUUAGAGAUAGAAUUUCGCAGCAAUGCGCACGAAACUAGGUGCUGCAUGGUUGUCGUCAGCUCGUGCCGUGAGGUGUCGGCUUAAGUGCCACAACGAGCGCAACCCUUACCGUCGGUUGCCAGCGGGUAAUGCCGGGGACUUCGAUGGGACUGCCACCGUAAGGUGUGAG